rnacentral:rRNA from 1 species
AUUGAACGCUGGCGGCAGGCUUAACACAUGCAAGUCGAGCGGAGCGAGGGUGCUUGCACCUUAGCUUAGCGGCGGACGGGUGAGUAAAGCUUAGGAAUCUGCCUAUUAGUGGGGGACAACAUUCCGAAAGGGAUGCUAAUACCGCAUACGCCCUACGGGGGAAAGCAGGGGAUCUUCGGACCUUGCGCUAAUAGAUGAGCCUAAGUCGGAUUAGCUAGGUGGUGGGGUAAAGGCCUACCAAGGCGACGAUCUGUAGCGGGUCUGAGAGGAUGAUCCGCCACACUGGGACUGAGACACGGCCCCGACUCCUACGGGAGGCAGCAGUGGGGAAUAUUGGACAAUGGGGGGAACCCUGAUCCAGCCAUGCCGCGUGUGUGAAGAAGGCCUUUUGGUUGUAAAGCACUUUAAGCGAGGAGGAGGCGCUCUAGGAUAAUACCCUAGAUGCGUGGACGUUACUCGCAGAAUAAGCACCGGCUAACUUCGUGCCAGCCGCCGCCGUAACAC